AUGCUCCUGGUCCCACCUGCAGCCGCCCACCCGCACCGGGCACCACGGGAUGUCUUCUUGGGCGUGUCUAUCAGGCCGCCAUCCCGCCCGAUGGAAGAGAUGCCGUGGGGAGUAGACAGUAGGCGUCCAUUAUGCGCACAAAUGCAACUUCCAGCCCUGGGCAUGUCUCUUUGGCUCAAAGCUUCUGCCGGAACCGACACAGAGGCUGUCACAUCCUCGGACCCCACAGGGACUGAGCGGACCUGUCCUCAGUCGGCCACAAAAGGCCCCGUGGACCCAACGGCAGCCACGGCCUGGCCGUCACGGCAAAGACCGAGACCAAAAGCACGCAGUAGGAGCAGAGCACGAAAUGUUGUUGCAGGAAGUCAGCCUGCAAAAACGGGACUCGUCCCCGUGUGUAGACGGAAUAACGUCCGUAAAGACGUCCACGUCCUCGUCCCCGUGUGUAGACAGAAGAACGUCCCCAAAGACGCCCACGUCCUCAUCCCCGUGUGUAGACAGAAGAACGUCCCCAAAGACACCCACGUCCUUGUCCCCGUGUGUAGAUGGAAGAACGUCCCCAAAGACGCCCACGUCCUCGUCCCCGUGUGUAGACGGAAGAACAUCCCCAAAGAUGCCCACGUCCUUGUCCCCGUGUGUAGACGGAAGAACGUCCCCAAAGACGCCCACGUCCUCGUCCCCGUGUGUAGACAGAAGAACAUCCCCAAAGACGCCCACGUCCUUGUCCCCUUGUGUAGACAGAAUGACGUCCCCAAAGACGCCCACGUCCUCGUCCCCGUGUGUAGACGGAAGAACGUCCCCAAAGACGCCCACGUCCUCGUCCCCGUGUGUAGACGGAAGAACGUCCCCAAAGACGCCCACGUCCUCGUCCCCGUGUGUAGACGGAAGAACGUCCCCAAAGACGCCCACGUCCUCGUUCCCGUGUGUAGACGGAAGAACGUCCCCAAAGACGCCCACGUCCUCGUCCCCGUGUGUAGACGGAAGAACGUCCCCAAAGACGCCCAUGUCCUUGUCCUCGUCCCCGUGUGUAGACGGAAGAACGUCCCCAAAGACACCCACGUCCUCGUCCCCGUGUGUAGACAGAAUGACAUCCCCAAAGACGCCCACGUUCUCGUCCCCAUGUGUAGACAGAGUAACGUCCCCAAAGACGUCCGCGUCCUGAUUCCCGUGUGUAGACAGAAUGAUGUCCCCAAAGACGCCCACGUCCUCGUCCCCAUGUGUAGACAGAGUAACGUUCCCAAAGACGUCCACGUCCUCGUCCCCGUGUGUAGACAGAGUAACGUCCCCAAAGACGUCCGCGUCCUGAUUCCCGUGUGUAGACAGAAUGAUGUCCCCAAAGACGCCCACGUCCUCGUCCCCGUGUGUAGACGGAAUAACGUCCCCAAAGACAUAAGAUCACUUCCGCGCUGUCACUGCCCAAUUGCUGUGUGA
rnacentral:lncRNA from 1 species